rnacentral:rRNA from 1 species
GACGAACGCUGGCGGCGUGCUUAACACAUGCAAGUCGAACGGAAAGGCCCUGCUUUUGUGGGGUGCUCGAGUGGCGAACGGGUGAGUAACACGUGAGUAACCUGCCCUUGACUUUGGGAUAACUUCAGGAAACUGGGGCUAAUACCGGAUAGGAGCUCCUGCUGCAUGGUGGGGGUUGGAAAGUUUCGGCGGUUGGGGAUGGACUCGCGGCUUAUCAGCUUGUUGGUGGGGUAGUGGCUUACCAAAGCUUUGACGGGUAGCCGGCCUGAGAGGGUGACCGGCCACAUUGGGACUGAGAUACGGCCCAGACUCCUACGGGAGGCAGCAGUGGGGAAUAUUGCACAAUGGGCGGAAGCCUGAUGCAGCAACGCCGCGUGCGGGAUGACGGCCUUCGGGUUGUAAACCGCUUUCGCCUGUGAGGAAGCGUGAGUGACGGUAAUGGGUAAAGAAGCACCGGCUAACUACGUG